AUUGAACGCUAGCGGCAUGCCUAACACAUGCAAGUCGGACGAGCGGCGGACGGGUGAGUAAUGUAUGGGGAUCUGCCUGAUAGCGGGGGAUAACUACUCGAAACGGUAGCUAAUACCGCAUACCAUCAGAUGGACCCAUAUGGGAUUAGCUAGUUGGUGGGGUAACGGCUUACCAAGGCAACGAUCCCUAGCUGGUCUGAGAGGAUGACCAGCCACACUGGGACUGAGACACGGCCCAGACUCCUACGGGAGGCAGCAGUGGGGAAUAUUGCACAAUGGGCGCAAGCCUGAUGCAGCCAUGCCGCGUGUAUGAAGAAGGCCUUCGGGUUGUAAAGUACUUUCAGUCGGGAGGCGGUACCGACAGAAGAAGCACCGGCUAACUACGUGCCAGCAGCCGCGGUAAUAC
rnacentral:rRNA from 1 species